rnacentral:rRNA from 1 species
GACGAACGCUGGCGGCGUGCUUAACACAUGCAAGUCGAACGCUGAAGCUCAGCUUUUGUUGGGUGGAUGAGUGGCGAACGGGUGAGUAACACGUGAGUAACCUGCCUCCUUCUUUGGGAUAACGCCCGGAAACGGGUGCUAAUACUGGAUAUUCACUGGUCUUCGCAUGGGGGUUGGUGGAAAGGGUUUUUCUGGGGGGGGAUGGGCUCGCGGCCUAUCAGCUUGUUGGUGGGGUGAUGGCCUACCAAGGCUUUGACGGGUAGGCGGCCGGGGAGGGUGACCGGUCACAUUGGGACUGAGAUACGGCCCAGGCUACUGCGGGAGGCAGUAGUGGGGAAUAUUGCACAAUGGGCGCAAGCCUGAUGCAGCGACGCCGCGUGAGGGAUGGAGGCCGUCGUGUUGUGAUCCUCUUUCGCUCAUGGUCAAGCCGCAACAAUGGUUGUGGUGAGGGUAGUGGGUAAAGAAGCGCCGGCUAACUACGUG